rnacentral:rRNA from 1 species
GGUUAAGCGAACAAGCGUACACGGUGGAUGCCCUGGCAGUCAGAGGCGAUGAAGGACGUGCUAAUCUGCGAAAAGCGCCGGUAAGGUGAUAUGAACCGUUAUAACCGGCGAUGUCCGAAUGGGGAAACCCGGUGCACUUCGGUGCAUCAUCGUUAGCUGAAUACAUAGGCUAACGAGGCGAACCGGGGGAACUGAAACAUCUAAGUACCCCGAGGAAAAGAAAUCAACCGAGAUUCCCCCAGUAGCGGCGAGCGAACGGGGAACAGCCCAGAGCCUGAAUCAGCUUGUGUGUCAGUGGAACGGUCUGGAAAGGCCGGCGAUACAGGGUGACAGCCCCGUACACGAAGGCACACAGGCUGUGAGCUCGAUGAGUAGGGCGGGACACGUGAUAUCCUGUCUGAAGAUGGGGGGACCAUCCUCCAAGGCUAAAUACUCCUGACUGACCGAUAGUGAACCAGUACCGUGAGGGAAAGGCGAAAAGAACCCCGGCGAGGGGAGUGAAACAGAACCUGAAACCGUGUACGUACAAGCAGUGGGAGCCUUCGUAAGAGGGUGACUGCGUACCUUUUGUAUAAUGGGUCAGCGACUUAUAUUCUGUAGCAAGGUUAACCGUAUAGGGGAGCCGAAGGGAAACCGAGUCUUAAUUGGGCGUUAAGUUGCAGGGUAUAGACCCGAAACCCGGUGAUCUAGCCAUGGGCAGGUUGAAGGUUGGGUAACACUAACUGGAGGACCGAACCGACUAAUGUUGAAAAAUUAGCGGAUGACCUGUGGCUGGGGGUGAAAGGCCAAUCAAACCGGGAGAUAGCUGGUUCUCCCCGAAAGCUAUUUAGGUAGCGCCUCGUGAACUCAUCUCCGGGGGUAGAGCACUGUUUCGGCUAGGGGGCCAUCCCGGCUUACCAACCCGAUGCAAACUGCGAAUACCGGAGAAUGUUAUCACGGGAGACACACGGCGGGUGCUAACGUCCGUCGUGAAGAGGGAAACAACCCAGACCGCCAGCUAAGGUCCCAAAGUCAUGGUUAAGUGGGAAACGAUGUGGGAAGGCCCAGACAGCCAGGAUGUUGGCUUAGAAGCAGCCAUCAUUUAAAGAAAGCGUAAUAGCUCACUGGUCGAGUCGGCCUGCGCGGAAGAUGUAACGGGGCUAAACCAUGCACCGAAGCUGCGGCAGCGACACUAUGUGUUGUUGGGUAGGGGAGCGUUCUGUAAGCCUGCGAAGGUGUGCUGUGAGGCAUGCUGGAGGUAUCAGAAGUGCGAAUGCUGACAUAAGUAACGAUAAAGCGGGUGAAAAGCCCGCUCGCCGGAAGACCAAGGGUUCCUGUCCAACGUUAAUCGGGGCAGGGUGAGUCGACCCCUAAGGCGAGGCCGAAAGGCGUAGUCGAUGGGAAACAGGUUAAUAUUCCUGUACUUGGUGUUACUGCGAAGGGGGGACGGAGAAGGCUAUGUCGGCCGGGCGACGGUUGUCCCGGUUUAAGCGUGUAGGCUGACUUUCCAGGCAAAUCCGGAAGGUUAAGGCUGAGGCGUGAUGACGAGGCACCACGGUGCUGAAGUGACAAAUGCCCUGCUUCCAGGAAAAGCCUCUAAGCAUCAGGUAACAUCAAAUCGUACCCCAAACCGACACAGGUGGUCAGGUAGAGAAUACCAAGGCGCUUGAGAGAACUCGGGUGAAGGAACUAGGCAAAAUGGUGCCGUAACUUCGGGAGAAGGCACGCUGACAUGUAGGUGAAGCCCCUGCGGGUGGAGCUGAAGUCAGUCGAAGAUACCAGCUGGCUGCAACUGUUUAUUAAAAACACAGCACUGUGCAAACACGAAAGUGGACGUAUACGGUGUGACGCCUGCCCGGUGCCGGAAGGUUAAUUGAUGGGGUUAUCGCAAGAGAAGCUCCUGAUCGAAGCCCCGGUAAACGGCGGCCGUAACUAUAACGGUCCUAAGGUAGCGAAAUUCCUUGUCGGGUAAGUUCCGACCUGCACGAAUGGCGUAAUGAUGGCCAGGCUGUCUCCACCCGAGACUCAGUGAAAUUGAACUCGCUGUGAAGAUGCAGUGUACCCGCGGCAAGACGGAAAGACCCCGUGAACCUUUACUACAGCUUGACACUGAACAUUGAGCCUUGAUGUGUAGGAUAGGUGGGAGGCUUUGAAGCGUGGACGCCAGUCUGCGUGGAGCCGACCUUGAAAUACCACCCUUUAAUGUUUGAUGUUCUAACCUGGCGCCGUAAUCCGGCGUGGGGACAGUGUCUGGUGGGUAGUUUGACUGGGGCGGUCUCCUCCCAAAGUGUAACGGAGGAGCACGAAGGUCAGCUAAUCCUGGUCGGACAUCAGGAGGUUAGUGCAAUGGCAUAAGCUGGCUUGACUGCGAGAGUGACGGCUCGAGCAGGUGCGAAAGCAGGUCAUAGUGAUCCGGUGGUUCUGUAUGGAAGGGCCAUCGCUCAACGGAUAAAAGGUACUCCGGGGAUAACAGGCUGAUACCGCCCAAGAGUUCAUAUCGACGGCGGUGUUUGGCACCUCGAUGUCGGCUCAUCACAUCCUGGGGCUGAAGUAGGUCCCAAGGGUAUGGCUGUUCGCCAUUUAAAGUGGUACGCGAGCUGGGUUUAGAACGUCGUGAGACAGUUCGGUCCCUAUCUGCCGUGGGCGCUGGAGAAUUGAGGGGGGCUGCUCCCAGUACGAGAGGACCGGAGUGGACGCAUCACUGGUGUUCGGGUUGUCAUGCCAAUGGCACUGCCCGGUAGCUAAAUGCGGAAGAGAUAAGUGCUGAAAGCAUCUAAGCACGAAACUUGCCCCGAGAUGAGUUCUCCCUGAGACUUUAAGUCUCCUGAAGGAACGUUGAAGACGACGACGUUGAUAGGCCGGGUGUGUAAGCGCAGCGAUGCGUUGAGCUAACCGGUACUAAUGAACCGUGAGGCUUAACCUU